UCAAAAUUCAUCUGGGAUCCAUCCACUGUAGGAGUUCGGCUGAAAUCCGAUUCUCGUAGGAGCUCGAAUGGAAUCCGAAAGGUGGUCGACCGCCGUAGAAAUUUGAAUGGAGUCUGAUUACUAUAGAAAUCUCAUUAUUAGAGAAGCUUGGACAUUGACGAAGUCCGAAAGAAGUUUGGAGUAGAGUCAUCCGUGGCCGGAAGAAGUCUGGAAGAGAUUCAGAGAAUAGUCAAUCACUAUAGAAAAUCGACUGAUAGCAGAGUUCAGAGGGCAUUUGGAGCAACCCGAUAGAUGAAUGGAGAAGCUCGUUGUCGGAGGAGUCUGGAUGGUAUUAUGGAAGCUCGGAUGGUCGGGGG
rnacentral:lncRNA from 1 species